rnacentral:rRNA from 1 species
UACGGAGGGGGCUAGCGUUGUUCGGAAUUACUGGGCGUAAAGCGUGCGUAGGCGGCUUUGUAAGUUAGAGGUGAAAGCCCAGGGCUCAACCCUGGAAUUGCCUUUAAGACUGCAUCGCUUGAACACGGGAGAGGUAAGUGGAAUUCCGAGUGUAGAGGUGAAAUUCGUAGAUAUUCGGAAGAACACCAGUGGCGAAGGCGACUUACUGGACCGUUGUUGACGCUGAGGCACGAAAGCGUGGGGAGCAAACAGG